GAGUGUAUAGCCCAGUGGUAGAGCACAUGCUUAGCAUGCACGAGGUCCUGAGUUCAAUCCCCAGUACCUCU
rnacentral:tRNA from 1 species